CACCAGACUCCUACGGGAGGCAGCAGUGGGGAAUAUUGGACAAUGGGGGGAACCCUGAUCCAGCGACGCCGCGUGGGUGAAGAAGUAUUUCGGUAUGUAAAGCUCUCUCAGCAGGGAAGAAAAUGACGGUACCUGAUUAAGAAGCCCCGGCUAACUACGUGCCAGCAGCCGCGGUAAUACGUAGGGGGCAAGCGUUAUCCGGAUUUACUGGGUGUAAAGGGAGCGUAGACGGCAGCGCAAGUCUGGAGUGAAAUGCCGGGGCCCAACCCCGGAACUGCUUUGGAAACUGUGCAGCCCGAGUGCAGGAGAGGUAAGCGGAAUUCCUAGUGUAGCGGUGAAAUGCGUAGAUAUUAGGAGGAACACCAGUGGCGAAGGCGGCUUACUGGACUGUAACUGACGUUGAGGCUCGAAAGCGUGGGGAGCAAACAGGAUUAGAUACCCUAGUAGG
rnacentral:rRNA from 1 species